GACCGCCCUGUGGCGCAACGGUAGCGCGUCUGACUGCAGAUCAGAAGGUUGCGUGUUCAAAUCACGUCGGGGUCA
rnacentral:tRNA from 1 species